rnacentral:rRNA from 1 species
CCUACGGGGCGCAGCAGGCGCGAAACCUUUACCCUGCGCGAAAGCGCGAUAAGGGGAUCCCCAAGUGCGAGGGCAUACAGUCCUCGCUUUUCUGUACCCGUAAGGAGGUUCAGGAAUAAU